AUUGAACGCUGGCGGCAGGCCUAACACAUGCAAGUCGAGCGGAUGAAGAGAGCUUGCUCUCUGAUCCAGCGGCGGACGGGUGAGUAAUGCCUAGGAAUCUGCCUGGUAGUGGGGGACAACGUUUCGAAAGGAACGCUAAUACCGCAUACGUCCUACGGGAGAAAGCAGGGGACCUUCGGGCCUUGCGCUAUCAGAUGAGCCUAGGUCGGAUUAGCUAGUUGGUGAGGUAAUGGCUCACCAAGGCGACGAUCCGUAACUGGUCUGAGAGGAUGAUCAGUCAAACUGGAACUGAGACACGGUCCAGACUCCUCCGGGAGGCAGCAGUGGGGAAUAUUGGACGAUGGGCGAAAGCCUGAUCCAGCCAUGCCGCGUGUGUGAAGAAGGUCUUCGGAUUGUAAAGCACUUUAAGUUGGGAGGAAGGGCAGUAAGUUAAUACCUUGCUGUUUUGACGUUACCGACAGAAUAAGCACCGGCUAACUCUGUGCCAGCCGCCGCCGUAAGAC
rnacentral:rRNA from 1 species